AAAGGAGAUUAUAUUUUCAUUUACAAUGAAAAUUACCUUAGGGCUCCUUUA
rnacentral:tRNA from 1 species